rnacentral:rRNA from 1 species
GGGUUGUGAGGUUAAGCGACUAAGCGUACACGGUGGAUGCCCUGGCAGUCAGAGGCGAUGAAGGACGUGCUAAUCUGCGAUAAGCGUCGGUAAGGUGAUAUGAACCGUUAUAACCGGCGAUUUCCGAAUGGGGAAACCCAGUGUGUUUCGACACACUAUCAUUAACUGAAUCCAUAGGUUAAUGAGGCGAACCGGGGGAACUGAAACAUCUAAGUACCCCGAGGAAAAGAAAUCAACCGAGAUUCCCCCAGUAGCGGCGAGCGAACGGGGAGCAGCCCAGAGCCUGAAUCAGUGUGUGUGUUAGUGGAAGCGUCUGGAAAGGCGCGCGAUACAGGGUGACAGCCCCGUACACAAAAAUGCACAUACUGUGAGCUCGAUGAGUAGGGCGGGACACGUGGUAUCCUGUCUGAAUAUGGGGGGACCAUCCUCCAAGGCUAAAUACUCCUGACUGACCGAUAGUGAACCAGUACCGUGAGGGAAAGGCGAAAAGAACCCCGGCGAGGGGAGUGAAAAAGAACCUGAAACCGUGUACGUACAAGCAGUGGGAGCACGCUUCGGCGUGUGACUGCGUACCUUUUGUAUAAUGGGUCAGCGACUUAUAUUCUGUAGCAAGGUUAACCGAAUAGGGGAGCCGAAGGGAAACCGAGUCUUAACUGGGCGUUAAGUUGCAGGGUAUAGACCCGAAACCCGGUGAUCUAGCCAUGGGCAGGUUGAAGGUUGGGUAACACUAACUGGAGGACCGAACCGACUAAUGUUGAAAAAUUAGCGGAUGACUUGUGGCUGGGGGUGAAAGGCCAAUCAAACCGGGAGAUAGCUGGUUCUCCCCGAAAGCUAUUUAGGUAGCGCCUCGUGAAUUCAUCUCCGGGGGUAGAGCACUGUUUCGGCAAGGGGGUCAUCCCGACUUACCAACCCGAUGCAAACUGCGAAUACCGGAGAAUGUUAUCACGGGAGACACACGGCGGGUGCUAACGUCCGUCGUGAAGAGGGAAACAACCCAGACCGCCAGCUAAGGUCCCAAAGUCAUGGUUAAGUGGGAAACGAUGUGGGAAGGCCCAGACAGCCAGGAUGUUGGCUUAGAAGCAGCCAUCAUUUAAAGAAAGCGUAAUAGCUCACUGGUCGAGUCGGCCUGCGCGGAAGAUGUAACGGGGCUAAACCAUGCACCGAAGCUGCGGCAGCGACACUAUGUGUUGUUGGGUAGGGGAGCGUUCUGUAAGCCUGUGAAGGUGUGCUGUGAGGCAUGCUGGAGGUAUCAGAAGUGCGAAUGCUGACAUAAGUAACGAUAAAGCGGGUGAAAAGCCCGCUCGCCGGAAGACCAAGGGUUCCUGUCCAACGUUAAUCGGGGCAGGGUGAGUCGACCCCUAAGGCGAGGCCGAAAGGCGUAGUCGAUGGGAAACAGGUUAAUAUUCCUGUACUUGGUGUUACUGCGAAGGGGGGACGGAGAAGGCUAUGUUGGCCGGGCGACGGUUGUCCCGGUUUAAGCGUGUAGGCUGGUUUUCCAGGCAAAUCCGGAAAAUCAAGGCUGAGGCGUGAUGACGAGGCACUACGGUGCUGAAGCAACAAAUGCCCUGCUUCCAGGAAAAGCCUCUAAGCAUCAGGUAACAUUAAAUCGUACCCCAAACCGACACAGGUGGUCAGGUAGAGAAUACCAAGGCGCUUGAGAGAACUCGGGUGAAGGAACUAGGCAAAAUGGUGCCGUAACUUCGGGAGAAGGCACGCUGAUAUGUAGGUGAAGUCCCUCGCGGAUGGAGCUGAAAUCAGUCGAAGAUACCAGCUGGCUGCAACUGUUUAUUAAAAACACAG